rnacentral:rRNA from 1 species
UACGGGAGGCAGCAGUGGGGAAUUUUGGACAAUGGGCGAAAGCCUGAUCCAGCAAUGCCGCGUGCAGGAUGAAGGCCCUCGGGUUGUAAACUGCUUUUGUACGGAAGGAAAAGCCUGGGGGUAAUUCCCCGGGUCAUGACGGUACCGUAAG